rnacentral:rRNA from 1 species
UACGUAGGUGGCAAGCGUUGUCCGGAGUUACUGGGUGUAAAGGGCGUGUAGGCGGGAAGAUAAGUCAGAUGUGAAAAUUCCAUGGCUCAACUGUGGCGCUGCAUCUGAAACUAUUUUUUCUUGAGUGAUGGAGAGGAAAAGCGGAAUUCCUAGUGUAGCGGUGAAAUGCGUAGAUAUUAGGAGGAACACCAGUGGCGAAGGCGGCUUUCUGGACAUUAACUGACGCUG